UGGGGAAUAUUGCACAAUGGGCGCAAGCCUGAUGCAGCCAUGCCGCGUGUAUGAAGAAGGCCUUCGGGUUGUAAAGUACUUUCAGCGGGGAGGAAGGGAGUAAAGUUAAUACCUUUGCUCAUUGACGUUACCCGCAGAAGAAGCACCGGCUAACUCCGUGCCAGCAGCCGCGGUAAUACGGAGGGUGCAAGCGUUAAUCGGAAUUACUGGGCGUAAAGCGCACGCAGGCGGUUGAUUGAGUCAGAUGUGAAAUCCCCGGGCUUAACCCGGGAAUUGCAUCUGAUACUGGUCAGCUAGAGUCUUGUAGAGGGGGGUAGAAUUCCAUGUGUAGCGGUGAAAUGCGUAGAGAUGUGGAGGAAUACCGGUUGCGAAGGCGGCCCCCUGGACAAAGACUGACGCUCAGGUGCGAAAGCGUGGGGAGCAAACAGG
rnacentral:rRNA from 1 species